rnacentral:rRNA from 1 species
UCCGUAGGCGGUGCGGCAAGUCGGGAGUGAAAUCUCUGGGCUUAACUCAGAGGCUGCUUCCGAAACUGCCGUGCUCGAGUGUGAGAGAGGCGAGUGGAAUUGCGGGUGUAGCGGUGAAAUGCGUAGAUAUCCGCAGGAACAUCCGAGGCGAAAGCGGCUCGCUGGAUCACAACUGACGCUGAGGGACGAAAGCUAGGGGAGCAAACAGGAUUAGAUACCCUGGUAGUCCUAGCCCUAAACCAUCAGGACUUGGGGUUUGCCCUGUACGGGGCAAGUCCCGGAGCUAACGCGUUAAGUCCUGCGCCUGGGGAGUACGGUCGCAAGGCUGAA